rnacentral:rRNA from 1 species
GGCGAACGCUGGCGGCGUGCCUAAUACAUGCAAGUAGAACGCACAGUUUAUACCGUAGCUUGCUACACCAUACACUGUGAGUUGCGAACGGGUGAGUAACGCGUAGGUAACCUGCCUGGUAGCGGGGGAUAACUAUCGGAAACGAUAGCUAAUACCGCAUAAUAUUGAUUAUUGCAUGAUAAUUGAUUGAAAGAUGCUAUUGCAUCACUACCAGAUGGACCUGCGUUGUAUUAGCUAGUAGGUGAGGUAACGGCUCACCUAGGCGACGAUACAUAGCCGACCUGAGAGGGUGAUCGGCCACACUGGGACUGAGACACGGCCCAGACUCCUACGGGAGGCAGCAGUAGGGAAUCUUCGGCAAUGGACGAAAGUCUGACCGAGCAACGCCGCGUGAGUGAAGAAGGUUUUCGGAUCGUAAAGCUCUGUUGUAAGAGAAGAACGGGUGUGAGAGUGGAAAGUUCACACUGUGACGGUAUCUUACCAGAAAGGGACGGCUAACUACGUG